GAUUCAAAGGCGGCUAAAGGCAAAGCAAAAUCUACACCUGCUUCUAAGACCAAGGACAGCGAUGUGGAGUCAGAGUCGGAAGAGACGCCGAAGGCACCAGAACCAGCAACCAAGGGGAAAUCAGUCGGUUCAGGCAAGUCGCAGGCAAGUCAGUCCAAGUCCGGUAAGAAGAGGAAGCGAUGAGUCUGGCUGCAGACAAAGGGAUUACGUAAUUUACAGUGGAAAGCUAAGCGCAACGGUGGCGGUGGUAUUGGUCGUUGCGGUGGGCGUAGGUUGGUGGGACUUGACAUCGUUUGGGCACUAGAAGUGUAGAAUUGUUUUUACAAAGGCGGCUAAAGGCAAAGGAAAAUCUACACCUGCUUCUAAGACCAAGGAGAGCGAUGUGGAGUCAGAGUCGGAAGAGACGCCGAAGGCACCAGAACCAGCAACGAAGGGGAAAUCAGUCAGUUCAGGCAAGUCGCAGGCAAGUCAGUCCAAGUCCGGUAAGAAGAGGAAGCGAUGAGUCUGGCUGCAGACAAAGGGAUUACGUAAUUUACAGUGGAAAGCUAAGCGCAACGGUGGCGGUGGUAUUGGUCGUUGCGGUGGGCGUAGGUUGGUGGGACUUGACAUCGUUUGGGCACUAGAAGUGUAGAAUUGUUUUUAUUUAAGACAAGAAGAAGUGUAGUAGUGAGUGGUUUUCACUUAGGAUUGAUUUCAGCUUAUGUAGUAGCGUUAAUGUGUGGAUACAUAAGAUGGCUUUGGUUAUUUUCAUUUUUUUUUAAAGAAUUAUUUUAGCACAUUUUUCCUAUCAUCUCUCCAUUUUGGAUUGUAAACAAUAAA
rnacentral:lncRNA from 1 species